rnacentral:pre_miRNA from 1 species
AGCUUUUUGAAUAUGUGCUGAGAUUUCGUCAGACACCAACUUAUUGGGGCUGAUUAGACUUCCAAGAUAAGUGAAGUU